AAAAAAAAAAAGGGGACUUAUUUCUUAUCCUUAGAAGGAUCUUGAAAAAAUCAGGGUGGAUUAGUUUCCUGUUUUUCCAACAAUUGCUUCAGAGGAAAGUGAAAUACUAAACACAAUUGUACCUUAAAUAAUCUAGUAAAAGUUAGAUUCACAGGCGGAACCAUGAUGCUUUUUUGGGAAAUUGCGAUAGAAGAUGGACAAAAUUUUUUUAGAAGGGGGAAUGAAACUAAAUCAAACUGCAAAAAUUAGAAUCAAAUUUACUUGGAUGAAGACAAUAUUAUUCUUCUUUCCUCUUUUCCCUCACUCACAUUAACUCAUUGGACAUUUACUUCAAUAAAUCUCAGCUCAGAUCUUGAUUAAUGAAGAAUAAGGUGCAGAUUAUCAUGGAAUAAGAAACAAAAUUAACCAACAAUCAGGAAACCUCAUUCAAAAAGAACAGAGAGGAAAAUAUAAUGAAUGGG
rnacentral:misc_RNA from 1 species